rnacentral:ncRNA from 1 species
AUUCAUGAGAGUUUGAUCCUGGCUCAGAACGAACGCUGGCGGCGUGCCUAACACAUGCAAGUUGAACGGGGUCAAU